GUCAGAGGUCAGAGACUGUACAGUAACAUGCUAUACAUGAGGUCAGUGGCUGUACAGUAACAUGCUAUACAUGAGGUCAGAGGCUGUACAGUAACAUGCUAUACAUGAGGUCAGAGGUCAGAGGCUGUACAGUAACAUGCUAUACAUGAGGUCAGAGGUCAUAGGCUGUACAGUAACAUGCUAUACAUGAGGUCAGAGGUCAGAGGCUGUACAGUAACACGCUAUACAUGAGGUCAGAGGUCAGUGGCUGUACAGUAACAUGCUAUACAUGAGGUCAGAGGUCAGAGGCUGUACAGUAACAUGCUAUACAUGAGGUCAGAGGCUGUACAGUAACAUGCUAUACAUGAGGUCAGAGGUCAGAGGCUGUACAGUAACACGCUAUACAUGAGGUCAGAGGCUGUACAGUAACACGCUAUACAUGAGGUCAGAGGUCAGAGGCUGUACAGUAACAUGCUAUACAUGAG
rnacentral:lncRNA from 1 species